UCCAGCUUGGUUUUCCAGAUCCUAGGUUGAACUUGCAGGAUUGUCUGUCAGAAAAAAAUCUUUUUAUUUGAUCUGGAGUCAUGGAGAGGCAGUAAACAUGGAACCCCAUGAUGCGUUUUUUUUAUAGUCACUUUUCAGCAUUGCUCUCCAAAUGUAAAUAUUUCCAAAAGAUGAUCUAGGAGACGUGUCCUCGGAGAGAGAGAGAGAAAAAUGCUUUUUGCGGAUUGUUGAAGAAUAUUUUAAACAUGAGGGUAAGGAUAGGCUGUUUAUAGUUCCAUACCGUGUUGAUGGGCCAUUUAUACUUUUACUGCUCUACUUUUUUCACAAGUUGUAGUAAAACUAAUAAUUUGCAUUGAAUGCUUAUUAGAUUGUUACAAGUUUGCUGACUUCCCUGAGGAAGUGAUCCAGCAAGAAAAAGAUAUUCCUUUCCACUUCCUGCACCUCAUAUUUCUGGUGCUGACUUGUAUCCUUUGGGGAAAAAAGGCCAACCUUUCCCCAGGAAGGGCAGAGUCACAGUUUCAGAAAUGCAGUGUUAGGAGAAAGCACUUUGGAGCAAUCUUGCGAAAUGGACUCAGUGCUAAGCAUAUGUUCAGUUGAUGGCACCACUGGCAGAGGCUGUGUCUAACAGAAGUUGCUUAUUGAGGGACUUCAGUAUCUCUUCAAGAAGAAAACACACAUUAAAUUUUGCAAGUUACAC